UAUUCAGACCCCGAAACAAGUAAGGACCCCUCACCCUAUUUCCUAUCACGGUAUUAAAGUUUAAUAAAUGAUAAAACGAUAUUUCAUGAAUCAAUAGAUGUGUGAAAUUGUUUAAGGUCGCUAAUGGAGCCCGAGUCUGGUGUGUUUGUCGGUCAGCUGUUGUUUGGCCUAUUUUAUAGUUUUAAAUGCAGUAUGAGGUCUGAUGUUUUCAUUUCAUAGUUUUGUGUGCAUAUAUCACUGUUUUAUUAAUUAUGGGUUGAAUGACUGAGAACCUGAUGUUGUGUGUUGUUUUGUUUGGCAUGAAUUACUAGUUUGCUAGUUUGUGUGUUAUUUGAUGAUGCUGACUGAGGAAAAAGGGAAUAAAAGGUUAUGUAAAUUGAUAAUUGUAUAAUGUGGUCAGCCUGACUAGAUAUCCUGGGAGAUGGUGGACGGACCAGGUCCGUAGGAAACCCUACCGGGAUUGUGGUCUCUCAUACCGGACGGGGUAUGGAGACCUUAUAUGUUUUGGCGCCCAUACCGGACGGGGUAUGGGGACAGCCCGUUUCACCCUCAUACCGGACGGGGUAUUGAGGUUUAUGGUUUUGGCGCCCAUACCAGACGGGGGAUGGGGAUGGCCCUGGAAUCUGAUUACAAAUGUUAAGGGUUCACGGGUAGCGGGAUCCCCAUGGAUCCCCAUGGAUACUAGUAGGCUGGUAAAUGAGGAAAAUAUAUUGUGUAAUGAUUGAAAUGCAAAGGCGUGGUAAGUAUUAUGUUAUACAGUUCAUAUGAUUUCAUGAUGAUGAUUAUGUUAUUGCUUUCGUAUGUUGUUUUAUGAACUUCACCGAGGUAACUGGACAGUAAAGGAUUUUAUUAUUGAUAAAAGAAUUUGUUAUAAAUUAUGCUCCAUUGGUCUUUUUAUGUUUUCUACCCACCUUUACCUCAAUGGUGGUGAGAUAUUGUGAUGUCUUUACUGGGCUGGUGUAGCUCAUUCCUUAUUUAACCAUUUCAGAUCAGGAAGACAUUGUUCCCGAGCCCGUUCUGCAGGAAGACGACGAAGGGGACGCCUAAAGAUUCUGUAGUUAUAUUUAUAGCUUUUAUUUUCGAGGUUCUCUCUUAGUUAGUUUGAAAUUUCAUAUUUUGAGUACGUUUUGGUUAUUGUGUAAGGGAUGUUAGUCAAAAUUUUUAUCACACUUCCGCAUUUGACAUUUUUAAUAUAUAUAUUUCAUUUUAAAUUUCUGGGGCCGUUACAUAUAUUAAUUCAAUUAAAGAAGAAUUUGAAUGUCCAAAUCAACCUACAAAUGGUAAAAUCAUCAAUUAGGCUUAAUUUGUUUGUGUUAGAAAAAAAUUAAGAGAUAGGUUAGCUGAAUAUAAUAAUUUGUUGAAAUAUGAGAGGAAGAAGUAAGAGAGACUAAUUGAGAAACCCAAGCUUUGAUUUGUGGUUAAUGCUAAAAUCUUUCAAGUACAUAGAUAUUUAUAAGUGCUAAUUUAUUUUAAUAGUAUUAAUAAUUAUCCAGAAUUUUUUUUCCAGAUUUUCUUACUUGAAUUAAUUAAUAAAUUUAAAUGAGGAAAAAAAAAAUUUGUCAUAUUAAUUCAAUUGAAGAAGAAUUUGAAUGUACAAAUCAAACUAAAAAUGACAAAGUCAUCAAUUAGACUUGAUUUGUUUUUGUUUGAAGAAAUAAAAAAAUAGGCUAGAUGAAUAUAAUAAUUUGUUGAAAUAUUAGAAUAAGAAGUAAGAGACUAAUUGAAAAACUCAAGUUUUGAUUUGUAGUUGAUGAUAAAAGCUUUCAACUAUGUGGGCAUUUAUACGUACUAGUUUAUUAGAAUAAUAUUAUUAAUUAUCCAGAAUUUUGUUUUUCAGGCUUCCGUACUUGAAUUAAGUAACUAAUUAAAAUGAGAAAAAAAAAUUUGUUUUUUUAUUAAUUCAACUAAAGAAGAAUUUGAAGGUAUAAAUCAACCUACAAAUGGCAAAAUGAUCAACUAUACUUUAUUUGUUUUUGUUAGAAAAAAUGGAGAGAUAAACUAGGUUAAUAUAAUAAUUUGUUGAAAUAUGAGAGGAAGAAGUAAGAGAGAGUAGUUGAAAAACUUAAGUUUUGAUUUGUGGUUGAUGCUAAAAGUUUUGAAGUACAUGAGUUGUAACACCCCAAGUGUAUUAUUAUUAUUAUUUUUUUUUCAAUUUAUUUUAUUUUGUAAUUAUUGGAAUUUUAUUUGAUUUUUUAUUUAAUUUAAUUUAAUUUGAUUUAAUUUAAUAAAAAUAAAAAUAAUAAUAAUGAUAAAAUUGGGUAAAAAUAUUAUUUGGAUUUAAUUAAAAUUGAUUUUGGGAAAAAGAGGUGAAAAUUUGAAUUAUGGGGGUGUUUUUGAAAAGAAAAUCGAAAACCGGGGGUCAAAGCACAAUUUAGAAAAGUUGUGUCACGUCAGCACCACGUCAGCAGCCACGUCAGCGACCCGGUCAGCAGCUCCGGCCAACCAGGACGCGCCACAUGGCAAGAAAACGCUUACCAAGGGACAGGCCACGCGGGCGAUCCGCGUGCGCGUGAUCGGACGGCCCAGAUCCGUUCCCGCGUGCACGGACGGCCUAGAUCAAACGUGCGCACGGACGACCCAGAUUGCAUUGCGAUGGAUGACCCAGAUUUAAUUCCAAUUAAAUCGUGAUCGAACGGUCCAGAUUUAAUCUUGAUGGACGGUUGAGAUUAAAAGGCAAACGGUAUAAAUACCCCCACCUACACCUGACCAAAGAAACCCUAGCUGCCAAUGCUCGGCGGAGAAGAAGAACCAGACACCGGAGGAGUCGGCAGCCGCCACCCGCCGCCGCACUGGGGAAGUUUCCAACCGCUGAUCGAGGUAAAUUUUCUCUCUCUUGCUCGUUUUUUGACGCUGAGUCUCCCUAUGGCCAAACCGGAGCCAAACCACCGGCCAAACGGCUGAAAACCCAGCCGAAACCCAGCAGCGCCGCCGCACCCCUCCUCAGUUUUUGCCUCUGAUGAGGCCCUUCCCGGCCUCCGUUUGAUGCAAAUUUUAUACAACUGUGAUCACCGUUCUUUUCUCUACAGGUUGAUCGGAGCCAAACAUCAAAAUGCGACUUACGCUGGAGGAGCUGCUGCAUCUGAGAGCACCGCCACUGGUAAGUUUCAAUUUUUCGUGAUUUUUCAGCCCACCGAGGGCCCUAGGGUUGUUCUAUCGCAGGGACCGAUGCAAGUGUGGCCGAAUUCAGCCGAAAAAGGCCAACCCGAGGCGAAUUGCCGCAGCAAACGGCGGCACCGUCGCCGGAGCACGGCGAAGCUGCCGUGUCAGAAUUGCGAUAUUGGCCGAAAGGGGCCCUAGGUCUAAUUUGAGAUUUUUUGGGACACGUGCAGGUACAAGUAGUGCGUUUCAGUUUCCCGAGAAAAAUUCAGGAAAAUUUAGAGACAGCCUGUAGGCGCACUGUAAAGCUGUAUUCAGACCCCGAAACAAGUAAGGACACCUCACCCUAUUUCCUAUCACGGUAUUAAAGUUCAAUAAAUGAUAAAACAGUAUUUCAUGAAUCAAUAGAUUUGUGAAAUUGUUUAAGGUCGCUAAUGGAGCCCGAGUCUGGUGUAUUUGUCGGUCAGUUGUUGUUUGUUCUAUUUUACAGUUUUAAAUGCAGUAUGAUGUCUGAUGUUUUCAUUUCAUAGUUUCGUGUGCAUAUAUCACUGUUUUAUUGACUAUGGGUUGAAUGACUGAGAACCCGAUGUUGUGUGUUGUCUUGUUGGCAUAAACUACUGGUUUGCAUGUUUGUGUGUGAUUUGAUGAUAGUGAUUGAGGAAAAAAGGAAUAAAAGAUUACGUGAAUUGAUAAAUGGAUAAUGUGGACAGCCUGACUAGAUAUCCUGGGAGAUGGUGGACGGACCAGGUCCGUAGGGAAUCUUUCCGGGAACGUGGUCUCUCAUACCGGACGGGGUAUGGAGACCUUAUGUGUUUUGGCACCCAUACCGGAUGGGGUAUUUGGACGGCCCGUUUCACCCUCAUACCGGACAGGGUAUUGAGGUUCGUGGUUUUGGUGCCCAUACCGGACGGGGUAUGGUGACGGCUCUGGAAUCAGGUUAUAAAUGUUAAGGGUUCACGGGUAGCGGGACCCCUAUGGAUCCCCAUGGAUACUAGUAGGCUGGUAAAUGAGGAAAAUGUGUUGUUUAAUGAUUGAAAUGCAAAGGCGUGGUAAAUAUUAUGUUAUACAGUUCAUAUGAUUUCAUGAUGGUGAUAAUGUUAUUGCUUUCAUAUGUUGUUUUAUGGAUCUUACCGAGGUAAGUGGACAGUAAAGGAUUUUAUUAUUGAUAAACGAGUUUAUUAUAAAUUAUGCUUCAUUCGUCUUUUUUGUAUUUUCUACCCACCUUUACCUCCGUGGCGGUGAGAUAGUGUGAUGUCUUUACUGGGCUGGUGUAGCUCAUUCCUAAUUUAACCAUUUUAGAUUGGGAAGACAUUGUUACCGAGCCCGUUCCGCAGGAAGACGGCGAAGGGGACGCCUAAAG
rnacentral:lncRNA from 1 species